rnacentral:rRNA from 1 species
UUCCUACGGGAGGCAGCAGUGAGGAAUAUUGGUCAAUGGGCGCAAGCCUGAACCAGCCAUCCCGCGUGCAGGAUGACGGCCCUAUGGGUUGUAAACUGCUUUUCUACGCCAAGAAAUUGCCAUACGUGUAUGGUUUUGACGGUAGCGUAGGAAUAAGCAUCGGCUAACUCCGUGCCAGCAGCCGCGGUAAUACGGAGGAUGCAAGCGUUAUCCGGAUUCAUUGGGUUUAAAGGGUGCGCAGGUGGGGAUGUAAGUCAGUGGUGAAAUACUGCCGCUUAACGGUAGAACUGCCAUUGAUACUGCAUCUCUUGAGUAUGGUUGAGGUAGGCGGAAUGUGUUGUGUAGCGGUGAAAUGCAUAGAUAUGACACAGAACGCCAAUUGCGAAGGCAGCUUACUAAGCCAUUACUGACGCUGAGGCACGAAAGCGUGGGGAGCGAACAGGAUUAGAUACCCUGGUAGUCCACGCCGUAAACGAUGAUCACUCGCUGUUUGCGAUACACAGUAAGCGGCUGAGCGAAAGCAUUAAGUGAUCCACCUGGGGAGUACGAUCGCAAGGUUGAAACUCAAAUGAAUUGACGGAA